GUCCACGCCGUAACGAUGAAUGUUAGCCGUCGGCAGUAUACUGUUCGGUGGCGCAGCUAACGCAUUAACAUUCCGCCUGGGAGUACGGUCGCAAGAUUAACUCAAGGAAUUGACGGGCCCGCACAAGCGGUGGAGCAUGUGGUUUAAUUCGAAGCAACGCGCAGAACCUUACCAGCCCUUGACAUCCUGUGUUACCCGUAGAGAUAUGGGGUCCACUUCGGUGGCGCAGAGACAGGUGCUGCAUGGCUGUCGU
rnacentral:rRNA from 1 species